CCUACGGGAGGCAGCAGUGAGGAAUAUUGGUCAAUGGACGAGAGUCUGAACCAGGCAAGUAGCGUGAAGGAUGACUGCCCUAUGGGUUGUAAACUUCUGUUAUAGGGGAAUAAAAUGUGCCACGUGUGGGAUUUUGUAUGUACCAUAUGAAUAAGGAUCGGCUAACUCCGUGCCAGCAGCCGCGGUAAUACGGAGGAACCGAGCGUUAUCCGGAUUUAUUGGGGUGAAAGGGAGCGUAGUUGGAUUGUUAAGUCAGUUGUGCAAGUUUGCGGCUCAACCGUAAAAUUGCAGUUGAAACUGGCAGUCUUGCGUACAGUAGAGGUGGGCGGACUUCGUGGUGUAGCGGUGACAUGCUUAGCUAUCACG
rnacentral:rRNA from 1 species